rnacentral:rRNA from 1 species
UACGUAGGUGGCAAGCGUUGUCCGGAAUUAUUGGGCGUAAAGAGCGUGUAGGCGGUUCGGUAGGUCCGUUGUGAAAACUCGAGGCUCAACCUCGAGACGCCGAUGGAAACCCCCGAACUAGAGUCCGGAAGAGGAGAGUGGAAUUCCUGGUGUAGCGGUGAAAUGCGCAGAUAUCAGGAAGAACACCCGUGGCUAAGGCGGCUCUCUAGUACGGUACUGACGCUGAGACGCGAAAGCGUGGGGAGCGAACAGG